UUGCUGAAUUGGUGCCCAUAUCAGGCAUGGAUGAUAACUUGUUGAAACCUGGCUGUAGACCUGUUUGAAAACAGUUUCAGCUCUACAAGCUCGAACAUAAACAAGACCUUAUGGUUGAAGGGUGGAGCCUUCUGUGAACCAUUACAUUAGGAUGCCACCAUGGAAUCUUCAAUUACCCACCCCCUCCUUGAUGUUUAUAGUUACAAACUAUAUGUUCUGUGCAUUAAAUAAAACUUGCAGGCAUUGCAAGUGUGACUUCUCCAUACCCCCUAACCAUAAAGCAUCCCCACUGCCC